UAUACUGCAGUCGAGCGAAUCGAUGGGUAGCUUGCUCCCUGACAUUAGCGGCGGACGGGUGAGUAACACGUGGGCAACCUGCCUAUAAGACUGGGAUAACUUCGGGAAACCGGAGCUAAUACCGGAUACGUUCUUUUCUCGCAUGAGAGAAGAUGGAAAGACGGUUUACGCUGUCACUUAUAGAUGGGCCCGCGGCGCAUUAGCUAGUUGGUGAGGUAAUGGCUCACCAAGGCGACGAU
rnacentral:rRNA from 1 species